AUGAAACACUCCUACGGGAGGCAGCAGUGAGGAAUAUUGGUCAAUGGACGAAAGUCUGAACCAGCCAAGUAGCGUGCAGGAUGACGGCCCUCCGGGUUGUAAACUGCUUUUAGUUGGGAAUAACGACGGGGACGUGUCCCCGGAACGAAUGUACCAUCAGAAAAAGGACCGGCUAAUUCCGUGCCAGCAGCCGCGGUAAUACGGAAGGUCCAGGCGUUAUCCGGAUUUAUUGGGUUUAAAGGGAGCGUAGGCGGACUGUUAAGUCAGCGGUUAAAGAGUGUGGCUCAACCAUACGAUGCCGUUGAAACUGGUAGUCUUGAGUGCACACAGGGAUGCUGGAACUCGUGGUGUAGCGGUGAAAUGCUUAGAUAUCACGAUGAACUCCGAUCGCGAAGGCAGGUGUCCGGGGUGUAACUGACGCUGAGGCUCGAAAGUGUGGGUAUCAAACAGGAUUAGAAACCCUAGUAGUCCGAAGUUC
rnacentral:rRNA from 1 species